CAAAUUUGUGAAAAGAAAAUUGGGACCUCACUCAAUAUUCGCGACUGUCACCUACUACCGUCGUAUUACACGGAAAUUAAAAAAGCGUUUCAAUAUAAUUUGGUGCCCGCGUAAACAUUUUUCUUUUUUUUACAUAUCUUUCAAAAGCCCUAAAUCAUCUCUCUGGUACGAUCGAAUACAAUUGUUGCUUAUCAAAAAAAAAAAAAAACAAAACACCAAAAUUUAUAUUCCUUUGAAAUCUCUUUCAUUCUUCUUUAGCAUAUCAAGUGAGUCCUUUCUCAGUAUAUCAAAUCUCUUCAUCUCCUUCUACUUUUGAUUUAGGUAGUAAAUUGAAUCUAUUUUUAAUUGAGGUACAACAUCCAAUUAGUUUUAAGUGAAACUUUUGUCUCAAUUCAAUGGAAUCAAUUGAAUGUAAAACGCAGUCGGAGUUGGUCGUUCAUAGGAAAGAAAGCCGCCGGAAAUAGUGAGAAAUUACAGGUUCUCCUCCUUUUUUUUCCAGUUUUUCCUUCGUCUCUCCCGACACUUCUCUGUAGCGCCCACGACAAUGAAAUUUCAUCAUGGUAAGCAGCCACGAUAGCACCACGUAGCUGUAGAGCUUCACUCCGCCUAGCAGAUGCACACUAAUGCCGCAAUUUGUAUAUUCGAAUUGAAAAUGGCAAAGAAGAAUUCCAGAUUCCAAAUGAUGAUGAUGAUGAUGAUGAUGAAGAUGCAGCUUAUUUUUGUUCUAGAAGGUUAAAAUCUAGUUGCAUACUCAAAGCAUUGCAUGUCAAUCCCGCUUCUGGUGUAUCUAUUGAUAAAGGUGUUGAAGUCUUGAAGCCAUCUUUAAGGUAUAUAUUGUAGCUGCAUGGAAAUAUUAAAAUUAUUACUAUAUGAACUAACCAUACAAAAAGAGACAAGGUUACUAAUAAAUGGUCUCCUGCCACAUUGCAAGAGAAAACAACCAUACAAAAAUAUGCCAAAAACUAACAUAACAUAAUAGCAACAUACUAGAAAAUAAACAGAAUAAUUGUAACAAUUCCUUACUAUUAGCUGAACCCCCUUGUCUGAAUCAUCAGUAGCUAGUUUAUUCCUCUGCUCAGUAUUACCACGUUUCCUAAUGUACAUACUACACUCCAAAUGCAGGCCUUAGUAUUAUGUGUCAGUUGUCUAACACUGUAUGUAUGCUUUAUUUACCCUUAGCUUGUACUACUUAAUAUAAAACUCUGUAUUCUAUAAUUCAGUCUACAUCUCUUUAUUUUAAUUAUCAUCUUUUAGUUUUCAUUGCCUUAAGAACCAAGCAAUUCCAAUAAUGAGCUCAUUAGAGGCCAAGAAAAAGUUAAAGCUCAAAAAGAAACUUACAAAAUUACUUAUAUUCAAGUGACCCGUGUAAUGAUGAAGGGCUCAUGUUUCUGGAAGUUUGAAUAUGUAGGUUUGGCUUGUGUCAAUUUCUUAGAAACUUGUGUGCUGAUGAGUUUAUAAACCAUAAUUUUCUUCUUAAUCUUGAUGGACUUUUUGUUGUUUAGAUGAUUUUUUGGUUAGAAGUCGUUUCUAAUCAUAUGUUGGUUCAGUGGUAUGUGCAUGUGAAGGUUUUGGCAAAUGUUUUUUUGGUUGAGAAACAAUAUCAGGGACUAUUUGGGAAUUGUUAUUUCCACUUUUUUUGUCUGAUGAUUCUGCAGUAUAUGGUUGUUUGUAUAUCAUGUGAUGGAAUCUUUGAAUGGUUUGGAGAGCUUUACAGUGACACUGGUUGGACUGCAGUUGCAUAAAUGUUGAGAACUGCUUUUGGGUAGUAUGAAAUUUAUGCUUUCUUGUAUACUUAUAAGUUCAUUUCAUCUUUGUUGUGUUCUAGAAUCAUUGGUAUAUUAUAACUUAGGUACUAUUUAUUUAUCUACAAAGUAUUGACAAAUAAAAGUAUAGAUUUAUAUUAGUCUAACAUCAUCUAUCAUUUUGGAUGGAUAUGAAUGCACCACUUAAAAACAAGUGCACCCUAAAUGUCAUAUGCUGUCCCAAAACAUGCAAAGGAUAAAAUAAAUCCCAUUGAAAUAACGUCUGCAAUUGUAAAUAGAGUAACAUGCUAUAACAAGGCUUAUCUCGAAGGUCAUUGGCUGAACUACAUGCAAUAUGGUAAUUACUUUAUAUCAUAUGCCACUGUUUCCAAAUGUUAUCUUCUUGCCAUUCUCGAGAAGCUUCUUGUCAAAAUAAAGAAAUCAAUGUAGAAGUCUCAUCAAAGAUAUUACAUCUGUCUUUGGACCUUGUGAUAUUUUGUUAAUCUUUUUUAUAAGCCUAUGUUUUUAUACUUUCAAUUAUAUUAAUCAAAGAAUCGAUAUAAUUUUAUAUAUACACUUGUGGGAAUAAGCCUAUGUUGGAUAUACUUGAGGGAAUAUGGAUAUACUGCAGAAAUAUUAUGGUUAGUGAUGCAAUUUCUUCAUUUGAAGUUUGGUGUUUCAUGGUUGAUCUGAUUCUAAUCCAUUUAUUUGACAGGGUAUUCACUUUUUUGAUAGGAAAUUCCAUUCCUUCUUGAUGUACUUAUGGAAGUCUUGCAAUUUUUCCCCAUUCUGCUAGCAGCGAGCUGAAGAGAGCAAGCCCGAGUCUCAGAUAGUCAACAUGCUGCAGGAUAUUAUAGAAAUUAUUAUACUUGAUGUUAUGGUGGAUGGCCACGCGUAUCUUCAUAAUUUUAUGUUAGAUAUUACUCAAAUAUAGGUAUAGGUAGUAGUUGAAUAUAAUACAGGUUUACGACUACAAGCCUAUGUAGGAUAGGACUAGGGGACAUUAAAAUAUAUACAGGUUAAUUAACUUCUAUUAUCAUAUACCGUAUAUGUAGCUUCAACAGUAGCUUUGAUAUUUUUUAAUCGCUUUGAUAUGUAGCUUCAAUUAAACAUUACUAUUGGAAGAUUAGAAAAUAUUUUAUAUUAUCUUUGAUAUAUAUAACAGUAGCUAAGUAAUAUAUUUUUUAAUUUUAUAAAUAUGUUAUUUGUGAGCAGAAUAAAA